UAGGGAAUCUUCCGCAAUGGGCGAAAGCCUGACGGAGCAACGCCGCGUGAGUGAUGAAGGUCUUCGGAUCGUAAAACUCUGUUAUUAGGGAAGAACAAAUGUGUAAGUAACUAUGCACGUCUUGACGGUACCUAAUCAGAAAGCCACGGCUAACUACGUGCCAGCAGCCGCGGUAAUACGUAGGUGGCAAGCGUUAUCCGGAAUUAUUGGGCGUAAAGCGCGCGUAGGCGGUUUUUUAAGUCUGAUGUGAAAGCCCACGGCUCAACCGUGGAGGGUCAUUGGAAACUGGAAAACUUGAGAGCAGAAGAGGAAAGGGGAAUUCCAUGUGUAGCGGUGAAAUGCGCAGGGAUAUGGAGGAACACCAGUGGCGAAGGCGACUUUCUGGUCUGUAACUGACGCUGAUGUGCGAAAGCGUGGGGAUCAAACAGG
rnacentral:rRNA from 1 species